UCCCCACUUGAAAAGUCCAAGUUUCAAAUUCGGGGAAUGGAUUUUCCACAUGUUAUUUCCAUGUUUUCAUCAUUCUGACGUGUAUAUUUGAAUGUGAACUUAAUAUGUAAAGUCAAGAACUUAGUGAGCCCCCCUUUAGGUCGGGGGAGCUCCCCCGAACCCCCCUACGAGCAUAUGUUAAGUGCAAGCUCUAACAACUACAGCUCUUACAAUGGGGGGACACCCCCCAAACCCCCCUCCGUCGACAUAGGUUUUUACCAGUGCGUUGGGGGGAAGCUCCCCCCAAACCCCCCCGGUGGACAGUCAACUAGCCCUUCUGUGUCAUACUGCUGGAGGGGGGGGUGCGAUGGGACCAUCCAUAUAGUUCCUUCCGACACAUUUUUGUUUUGGUAAUGUAAUACAUUGUGAUUGACCUUAUUCACGGGAAUCGGGCGUUUCCAGUGAUAUACGACACAAAUGGGUUGUCCUCAUGCAUUCACUUUCGAAACGCAUUUUAAAAUAGAUGUUACGUCCUGUUAAAGAGGUUGAAUAGCGCCUCCAGAAGCAAGCAACAGCGCCACCCGUAGCAGAAAUAAGAACUGCUUAGUGACGUCAUGGUUUCCAUAUACGGCAUCUCAUUUGCAUAUUUUUACAACCUUAUUUACUACGAGUUAUAAAUAUGCCAGUAGCACGUGGAUCAUGCCGGGCGGCGCUGUCAGGUGUUUCCACUAUGGGUUACAUAAUCGGCUACAAAGAGGCCAGUGUUCUAGUAAAUGAAGUUAGCAAUGAUAGCGAAAGAAUGUUAGUGUAUGUUACGCAGUCAAUAGCGAUAGUAGUGAGUUGGAGAGAGGAGAAAAUGGAAAAUGGAGAGAAUAGUAGUAUGGAUUUCGAGUCCCAAGAAGAAACUUUGCAAAGUUUUCAUCAAACUGAUAAUCAUAUUCCUUCCUUCUCUGUCUCCAACAAUUAAAAGUUGCUGCAGUCAACCUGAUGCGUUUAUCCGCGAGCGAAUCGACGAGACAAGCAUUUUUCAAGCAUCCGAAUGGUACCUUACAGAUCCGCAAGGGGCGCGUUACCGAAAAUGUUGCAAAAAUCAAUAACGUGAUCGUAAAUAUUGUCAUAUAUUUCAAAAUGAGAGUAUGUAAAUGAUACGCAGACGGUUAACCAAUGAAAGGCCAGUAUCUAUUGAACCUUACAAGUGAUUUGGGGGCCUUGAAACUCCUUAUAUUUAUCAAUGAAACCUUAUUCCCGCCUAAGGUUUUGACCGGGCCGUCCAAAACUCCCCAUUUUUUGGCGGGCCAUUCCCUUUAAUGGGGCACGUCAUCAUCGCGUACAUUUGGGAAAAACUCCCUAACGAGACCGGAGCAGACGGCUGAAAGUAGUUUAAUUAUUGGCCGCUAGGGUACAGAAUGUACGUCGCUCACCCGAAUUUUUCACGCAACUAUAGCUAAAUAGAGCUAGUUCUAGUUUGUGAUUCAAUUUGAUACUUCAGAUUUGGGCAGUAGACCAAUAUAACUUAGUCGUCAGUGUGGUUUUAAGCUGGAAAAACGUAUUUGUUUUUCUUAAAGUGCCUUUUUUGGACGGGUGUGUGCGAUUGUUUUGUUUUUAUGUCACGUGACCUCGAUCAUGUCGACACAAAAUUGAAAUAAACCACCCUUUUCUGUCAUUAUUUAGGACGGAUAUUUCUCUGAUAAAAAUAUUAAUAUAAUUGGCCAAUUUCUUAGGCAUAUGAUGUAGCGAAUUCCCAUGAAGAUUUAAAUUAAUUUAAAUUAAUUUCAAGCAAUGGGAUAGCAACCACCACCGGAAGAUCGCGGAGAAAUCGGUAAACUCAACGGAGUUAAUUCAGAAAAAUACCAAAAAAAAUUGUUUGUAGGAUAUACAAUAUUUACUCUCUUUAUUUCACUUCAUUUACAUUAUAUACUCCCGCACACACGUGUAUCUUAAGAGCCCCUCCUAAAGGGGGUCUUAUCAAGAACGAUGUCUUAGUAAGUACAGACCAUACAUAUAUGCCAAAGAAGGUCUGUCACACAAAAAUAAAUGUGUUACCAAUUUUUUCCAGAAUCCAGGUGAGGCAAUCCACUCCAAUGACGGUUGCAGCUAAGAUUGAAAUAUCGACAGAUUUCCCUUUAACACUGGAAAGUGACGGUGGCGCUCUCUAGGAUUCAAAUAUCACCAUAUCCCCCUUUAUAUCGACAGAUAUUCCCAUUUGGCAGAGUAGGCCUACCACAUCUGGUGGAAAUAUCGAAAAAUUCCCCCUUUAUACUGGCGGUUGAAAGAUCGACAGAUUUAACUUUAACAGUUAGUUGUGAAGAAAAAUCUUCAACUGUCAUUAGAUUGCCCCACCUGGAAAAAAUUGGCAUGUGGGUAGGCCCCCCUAUGUGGUAUGUGGUUUUAGAUACUGCCGUGUGGCAGAGGCAGAGGUGUGUUGUUCUCGGCGGCAUCAAUGACAAUGGAUAGGGCCUACACCCUAGUCCCUAUACGGGUAUACCGGUUAUCCUAAGAUACAGGUUUUUGAUAAUACUACAUCAUAUACAAUCGUUUGAAAUAUUGAGAGGCGGAGUAUAUUGAAAACCACCGAUUACGUCGGGAUGUAUACCGGUAUGCCAUCCUACUUAUGUAAUCCUUAAAGGGGGACUAUAGGCAGGAGCUAAAUGAGAAAAUCUCAUGUUUUAAUAGUAAGACAAUCCUGAGGAAAUCGGGGACCCUUCAGGCGGCAACUAUGUAGGCAAGAUAAAGUUAUAUACACAGAUGUCGCCAGGGGUCUUUCUCAUACCACAACCACCAAAUAUCGAGACGAUGAGUACAAUAGCCCCUGGCCGUUUCAUUUAUUACAUCAAUUCAAAAAAAUUGUGAAACGCUCAGCAGAAAAGCUGCAAGCUUUCUGCGAAGCGCUAUACUCUGGUUUAACAUGUGUGCGUAUCCAGUAAGUUCACCACUUUUUUCUACCAGUACCAGUUUUCAUUGCAAGAAACUGUUAUAGGAAAAACUAGCAACUGUUCUAAUUAACACUUUGUACGAUUUCUAUUAACCCAAUCCAUAAUAAUCAAAUAAAAAGUUUAUUCAUUCAUGGCUUAUGGUCAAUCCCAUUACCAAUCUGGCUUGGCCCAUUACAUCUGACACCUUUGUUUGGUUAUCUAAGGCAACAACAGACUAUGUCAAUCUUGAAAGAAAGUUUGGGCAUGUUACAUAAUACCACUACCUGUCACAUUUUAUACGUUCCAAUGCUUGGUUCAAGCAUGCUGUGCAGACAGAACAUUCGUUUUGGCAGGGUGUACAUGGUUCUUCCAAAAAGAACUAUCUUCAAGUUUUACUUUUUUCAACAUUCUGAAAUAGCAAAAUUAUUUGUGUUUAGCAUCAAUGUUCUUAAAGAUGACACAACCUUGUCUGCAAUUGCAUUCGAAGAUUCUAGUCUGAUUUCCAAGAAGAAGGCUUUCAGUUGUCCAGGCCAGGCCAGGUGACCAAUGACAAUGAUAGAUCGGGUUCGAUUCAAGCUAUACGCUUGGUGUAUUUGGUUAUCGUGACUGGCGACUUGAGUCUAACUCAUCUCAUGUCCAAAGCGCGGUGGCUGGGUCCCAGGCAUGCUUGCCACUUUGUUCCACGGUCCUCAUCUAAGUUUCGACGGUGAUGACAUGGACUUAGGUUCAAGGUACGUGUUCCCCUUGAGUCAUUGUGGUUGAUUGAUGGGGGCAAUGAAUUAUGUUGCGUGUCGCUAGUCAUUCAAUUGGUCCCCUUGUUUUAGAGUGUUGGCGGGAUAAGUCUUACGACUGUUAACAAUAGUAAGCAAUAGCUGGCCAGCGAUCCCCUACCUGAUCUCGAGGGGGAUGGAAUGACUGGGGUCCGAGGCCUGUUGUUCGCCUGCGGAAUUUCGUCGGACGAUAUGUCAGACGUGUCCGUGUGGAACUUGUGCUAAACCAGUUUAGUACUAAUGACAAGGACAUUGUGCUCUUUGGAUGACAACAUGGUUCUUGACCUCCUUGGGCUUCACAAUGCUAGAAUAUACACCCCCUGAAAUUGACAUGACGGCGAUGAAGAAGGAGAGCCGGCCUCCAGCUCGAGAGCCGAGAAGACACUGGAUGGACCCCGAGGAUAUGUUGCUGCCAAUGUUGGAGCAAUACACGGCUGCCUGAGCCAACAUUGUACAAGGGCCACAAGGACAAGGACGAGGGACACAAGGACAAGGACGAGGGACACAAGGACGAGGGACACAAGGACGAGGGACACAAAAGACGAUGUUGCAGUCUACAGGGCUAUGCAGAUGACUGGAGAUGAUGGCUGUUGAGUUGACCCGAUGACUUCCACCACAAUCUACGAUGCGUACUGAAGCAAGAAUGACUCUCAAAGACCCAGAGAACAACAGAUGUCAACACUUCGCCCCAUGAUAAGAUGCCUUCAUACUCAUCCAUCGACAAUUUGGGGAAGACAGCCUAAUUGACCUUCAUGGGGAUCUUCCUGGCAGAUGUUGUAUGAGGAAGGAUUCAAUGCAUAUGCACCAUGCUUGGAUGCGGGUCUGAGAGUCGGGUGGAUUCAAUGGAUGGAAUCAUUUCGCUCAAGGAUAUCGGCGGUGGACACUUACAUCGUGUGUCAUUCGAAUAGACUUUAAUGACAAUCGAAAUGAUGCUAUAGGGGACUCUGAUGAAUCUAAGGACAUAGAGCCCUUCUCGUUAUGUAAUGUGACGCCAUAUCCAGCAGCCACCAUGGACCCGGUUCAUCUCUUACAUAUGGAAGGAUGCCAUCUCAUAUGGAGAUGAGCCAUCCAAGAGAAGGGAGGAGAAUGCUCCCAUCGCCGUCAAGGAGGUUUGAUUUUUGUCACCGUAGGCCUUACCUUUUUAUUGCAAUAUCUGAUUGAAAGGUGAUUUGAUAAUAAUCCUGAUAUUUUGUUUUCUGAUUGCGAGAAGGCAAUUAUUUGCCUUCUUUUGGGCAAUGACAAACUCUUGCCAUGGCUCAAAUUCGUACACAUUUAAAGAAGAGUUUAGAAAAUGAGGGGAGGGUGUAAUGAGGUAAUUAGGGAAACCAGGGCAUGUCACAAGCCCAAAAAUUAAAAAAUCAAAAUGUGGAAGGGAUGUUCUGGCUAACAGGACAGCCAACAGGGUAAGUUGGUACCCAAACAAAACAUUUGCAAUAGCCUAAGGUACAUUGGGACCCUACCGGCUGCUUCAGAUUUGUUUCAAGCCAAAAAUAUCUUUCUGCUUAAAAAAUCACCGAAUUCAUCAGUUAUUGUAUUUGAUUAUGUCCAUCACAUGAGACAUGGGGUUCACAUGACAUUCGCUUUGCUCUGACCCCAGGCAAAGCGAAUGAACAUGUGUGUCUUGAUGGAACUGUAGGCCUUUUUACUGUUUCUUGAUCUCUUCAGUACCACAGAAUCCACCAGCAUUUAAACACCACCUGGGCCCAGGCGCCAAAGAUCCUUCAUAUAAUUGACCUGGCUCAGUUGCUCAGUGUCUUUACCUUCAUACUUGAGACAACUGACCAACAACACAAAUCGAGUGAAUUUUUAAUUCCUCAUCACUUUUAAAUCAAUACCCGUGAACAAAAAAAUCAUGGUAUGCAAAACAUCUUUUCACCAAUUUAACUGAUAAGCUUUGUCAAUAAAACUAUUGUUUUAUUGAAACUUAUCAGAAUAAGACUGGUUCUUGAUCCUACCUAUAGCGGUCUCACAGGAGAGAAUCUUAGUCUUUUCUUUGUUUUGAUUUAAGAAGACUUUCAUUGCAAGAGCAUAAUUUUCAUGUUCUGCAAGUUAUGAAAGAUAUCAUUUUGCCCCAUCAAGAACAUUUUUAUUGGACUUGGUACUGAAUGAUUUUAGAAAAGUGUAACGUCAAUGUGUAAGACGUUUUAUAUUGUCAUAUAGGUAUGUAAUUAUAUUUGUAAUGCAUGUAAAUCUUGUAAGUAAAAUAAAAGAGAUCUUAGACUCAACUUGCAAAAACCUGGCAGACCAACAUCCAGUCUUGCCAGGUCAAAGCUACCUCUUUUGUCAUGCAAAUACAUGUCACCUCUGCUCCUUUUGUCAUGCUAAUUGGCAGCCUCUGUCCAGUUCCUGGCCAUGAGAAAUGUGGUUCUUUUGUUAUUCAAAUUGGGCCCUAAACCUGUUUGGUCAUGGAUUAAUGAGAGCAGUGACCUAACCUAUUGUUCGCUGAAGAUGGCUCAACUGAAGUCAUACACAAUAGGUUUUAAUACAUGCAUGCAGAGGUUAAGUGCCAGCUCAUUGUUAGCUGGCUCAUUGUUGGAAUUGUUGAGUCAUCUAGUGUAAGAUCUCUGUUCAGUUGUGUCUUUUUUGGACAUUCUAAAGGAGGAGAACAUGUGUGAUAGAACAAUUAUCUCCAUGUCUCGUCCUUUAAUGGGCAUUGGAGUGGCACAGCGACUAUGAUCGAUGUAAUGUACAUGUAUGAAGUCAUUAUCGUCGUAAGCGCUGUGCCUGUCACCUGUGUGAUGGAGUUGACGACUCCCUCUGAUUGCGUAGGUUUUCUCCCGUUGAAACGGUUUUCCUCCUACACUGACUUUCCAAGUUGCCAUGUGAGGAUAAUUCUUGGAAUGUG